AAGUCGUAACAAGGUUUCCGUAGGUGAACCUGCGGAAGGAUCAUUAUCGAGUUCUGACAUGGAUUGUCGCUGGCCUCUCGGGGCAUGUGCACAUUCAUUGCUCAUCCACUCACACCUGUGCACACACGUAGUUGUUGUUGUCUAUCUGAACCUGUUGAAAGGAGUCUUCGGAUUCUGGAAGAUAAGGGGACGAAGCGGCGGCACUACAUUUUUAUACACACGCUUAAAGUCUAGAAUGUCUUAUUGCUAUAAACGCAUUUAAAUACAACUUUCAACAACGGAUCUCUUGGCUCUC
rnacentral:misc_RNA from 1 species